GCAACGGAUCUCUUGGCUCUCGCAUCGAUGAAGAACGCAGCGAAAUGCGAUAAGUAAUGUGAAUUGCAGAAUUCAGUGAAUCAUCGAAUCUUUGAACGCACCUUGCGCCUCUUGGUAUUCCGAGAGGCAUGCCUGUUUGAGUGUCAUUAAAUUCUCAACUUCAAAAGCUUUUGUCUUUUUGAAGCUUGGAUGGUGAAGGCUUGCUGGCGUUUUAAAUGUCUCAGCUCCUUUGAAAAGUAUUAGUGGACCCGUUUGUGUUCAUUCCUUAGUGUGAUAAUUAUCUACGCUGUGGUCUUUGAAUGCAUAUGCGCUCAUUAGAAUCUUUCGAGCUGUUGUUUUUACUACAGUCUCGGUGUGGAGAGUUGCAUGAAUUUGCUCUUUCUGUCUCUUGAGUCAGGAUUGUCUGCUUCAAACCGUCUACACAUUGUAGACAAUUUUGAACCAUUUGACCUCAAUCAGGUAGGACUACCCGCUGAACUUAAGCAUAUCAUAAGCGGAGGA
rnacentral:rRNA from 1 species